CAUUCGUCAAUAAAUCAAUCUACAAUCCUGCUGUUUCUGCCUCUGGAAAUAUAACAUGGAUGGUGUGAAGAGAGGAGCAACACCCACACAGUUCAAUCUGUUUGGAGGGGGUUAUCAACACCACAUUACUUUACAAUAGAGAUAGUGGAAAGAUCCUGUGGCAUCAUUUUCUCAAAACACAGGGAUCAAAUCAACUCAGCAGGCAGAUUUUUUCUCUCUCCAGAUUUGUAUUUCUAAUUUCAGUAGGCAGCAUAUACAGUGCAUGGGUGUCUGAAUGAAUAAAAAACUAUUCAUCAUGGCACAGUAGAUUCCCGAAAGUAAAAAAAAAAAAAAUCAGAUCUGAAAAGGUUUACAUCAUCCUUUUGUGAGAAAUACCCCAAAAUGCCGGUCAGUGCCAUUGCCAUGCUAGGGCGGAUUCAGCAGGGUCGCCUCUAGGACCCAGCAGUGCAGCCGGUCAGGUAGGCUCAGCUCGUAGACUAGAGAGAGGCAGACAAAGGCAGAGAGAGCUCGUGCCGCUAUCCUGCAGCAUCCACACCCACCCACCUCACUCCAAACGCUCCAGCGCGGACUUCCCAGAGCUCAGCACAACCAGCACUCUCUACCACGGACCCCCCCUGAAAUCUGUCACCAUGGAGCUGGACUUCGGCCAUUUUGACGAGCGCGACAAGCCCCGUACCCACGGGUGUGGGCGCCAUGAACGGGCUGCCUAGCCCCACCCACAGCGCCCACUGCAGUUUACCGCACGCGCACCUGCAGGCCCUCACCAAACGAGAAGAAGCAAGAAGGUGAGGUUCUACCGCAACGGAGACCGCUACUUCAAGGCAUCGUGUAUGCCGUGGCGUGGAACGCUUCCGCACCUUCGACGCCUCUUGGCCGACCUGACGCGCUCGCUCUCGACCACAUCAACCUUCCCCAGGGGUCCGCUUCAUCUUCUCCAUUGACGGAACGCGGAAGAUCACCACCAUGGAUAGCUGCGGGAAGGUGAGCUCACGGGGUUGGGUGGUAGAGAGUGGGGGUCAUUAUGGAGGAAGGUG
rnacentral:lncRNA from 1 species